ACUAUUAAAUUUUAUAAAUAAGAUUGCUGACCCUAAGUUAAAAAAAGAAUAUUUGCUGAAACUCAAAGAAACCAUGCAAAAGGAAGAACAUAAACCUGCACAAAUACAUAGCCUGAAUAAUAUUCUAAAUAGAUUUGAAGAAAAAGAUGAAAAGACAGUCACCCUCCAAGACCUCCAAAAAGAAAUCAAUCACAUAAAAUGGGAAAUAGGACAAAUGGAAUCUCAAAUCCAAGAGUUAAAAGAACAGAAGAUGGAAUAUGUCCCAGA
rnacentral:lncRNA from 1 species